UACAGAGGUCCCGAGCGUUGUUCGGAUUCAUUGGGCGUAAAGGGCGCGUAGGCGGCAAUUCAAGUCAGUUGUGAAAUCUCCGAGCUUAACUCGGAACGGUCAACUGAUACUGUUUUGCUAGAGUACAGAAGGGGCAAUCGGAAUUCUUGGUGUAGCGGUGAAAUGCGUAGAUAUCAAGAGGAACACCUGAGGUGAAGACGGGUUGCUGGGCUGAUACUGACGCUGAGGCGCGAAAGCUAGGGUAGCAAACGGG
rnacentral:rRNA from 1 species